UAUUCACUGUCAGCAUUGUACGUUUUCACAUGGCCAGGGACUUCUAUCUAUCUAUCUAUCUAUCUAUCUAUCUAUCUAUCUAUCUAUCUAUCUAUCUAUCUAUCUAUCUAUCUAUCUAUCUAUGCGCUUGUACUGAGAACACAUAUGUAAUUACAAAUAUAUUUAAAUACAUGGCAUACAAGAUUCAAUAGAAAUUACAUUAAAGUAUGUUUUAGUUUAUCAUAAAUGUAUGUCAGUACAUUCAGCAGCACUUUAACCAUAUUUAAAAAAAAAUAGAAGUAAUGAUGAAAUUACAUAUAAAUAUGUAUUAAGUCCUACUUAAGUGGGUCAGUUAAGCUAACUGAAUUUAAUAUAAAUUUAAACUAUAAUGCAUUUUCAUUUAAUUGCCAUUAACUGCAAAAACAUUACAUUCAGUUCACACUUGAGUAGAUUAUUUUUGACACUUAUUGGCACCUCAGUUUGAUUCGGUGGAUUUUUGUGCAUGGAUAUGCACAUGAAUAUGUGGGAAACAGUAUUGUGUUCAGUGUAGUCGAGGUGCACACUGACAGUUCACACACUGUGCGCAUGACACUUACUGAAACAUAGCAUGAGUAGUGUGUUAGUGUGGUGUCUGACUGCCUGUGUCUCCUCAGACGGGUGAGAUGGGUCUCACUCAGAGCGUGGGCGAGGACGGGCUGAGGUUUGAGGUGUGGGUGAGACAUGCGUCCCGCACCAGGGACUGUCUCACUCUCCAGGCCUCCAGCGUGCAGGAGAGAGGAACCUGGACCCACGACAUCGCACAGCUGCUCUGGACUCACGCCAUCCACAACACAGUUCAGAGCAGUUGUUCAGAUUCAUCUUCUGUGGGCAGCAUGAAAGAGAGCGACUCACCCUCCGCUGCAAGAGAUUCAAAGAGAAACGACGAGCAAACAGGUCACACUCAGAGCUCCUCACCCUCCACCUCUGUGUGAAUCAUUUCAACCCACAAUGCAAGUCUUAUAAAUAAUACACAAUGGGUGCUGUUUCUUUAAUCAAAAUCUCUACCGCAUAUUUACGACUGGGACAACUGGACACAAACUGGAUCCUGAGACACACACAGCCGUGUAAAUACAGAAGACUGGAGGUCGCAUGUCAGCAGUCGUCUCACUUUUUAUCAUAUCAGUUUCUCUUGAUAAUUGACUUUCAGGUAGAGGAUCAAAGCUGAUUCAACGUCUCAGGCCCAUCACACACAUCAGAAACUAAAUAAAAGAUGAUAUUAAAGUCA
ensembl:lncRNA